rnacentral:rRNA from 1 species
UACGUAGGGGGCGAGCGUUAUCCGGAAUUAUUGGGCGUAAAGAGUGCGUAGGUGGUUUUUUAAGCGUGUGGUGAAAGGCAAUAGCUUAACUAUUGUAAGCUGCGCGAACUGGAAGACUUGAGUGCAGGAGAGGAAAGCGGAAUUCCUAGUGUAGCGGUGAAAUGCGUAGAUAUUAGGAGGAACACCAGUGGCGAAGGCGGCUUUCUGGACUGUAACUGACACUGAGGCACGAAAGCGUGGGGAGCAAACAGGAUUAGAUACCCUGGUAGUCCCU